GUAGGGUGCGAGCGUUAAUCGGAAUUACUGGGCGUAAAGCGUGCGCAGGCGGUUGUAUAAGUCAGAUGUGAAAUCCCCGGGCUCAACCUGGGAACUGCAUUUGAGACUGUACGGCUAGAGUUUGGCAGAGGGGGGUGGAAUUCCACGUGUAGCAGUGAAAUGCGUAGAGAUGUGGAGGAACACCGAUGGCGAAGGCAGCCCCCUGGGCCAAUACUGACGCUCAUGCACGAAAGCGUGGGGAGCAAAC
rnacentral:rRNA from 1 species